GACGGGGGAUGCAAGUGUUAUCCGGAAUCACUGGGCGUAAAGCGUCUGCAGGUGGUUUCCUAAGUCCACUGUUAAACCUUGAGGCUCAACCUCAAAUCUGCAUUGGAAACUAGGAGACUUGAGUAUAGUAGGGGUAGAGGGAAUUUCCAGUGGAGCGGUGAAAUGCGUAGAUAUUGGAAAGAACACCAGUGGCGAAGGCGGCUCACUGGUCCGGUACUGACGCUGAGGUGCGAAAGCGUGGGGAGCAAACAGG
rnacentral:rRNA from 1 species